UACGAAGGGUGCAAACGUUGCUCGGAAUUAUUGGGCGUAAAGCGCACGUAGGCGGCUUGGCAAGUCGGAUGUGAAAUCCCUCGGCUCAACCAAGGAAGUGCAUCCGAAACUGCUGAGCUUGAGUACUUAAGAGGAUCGCGGAAUUCCCGGUGUAGAGGUGAAAUUCGUAGAUAUUGGGAGGAACACCAGUGGCGAAGGCGGCUAUCUGGACGAACACUGACGCUGAGACACGAAAGCGUGGGGAGCAAACAGG
rnacentral:rRNA from 1 species